rnacentral:rRNA from 1 species
GACGAACCGUGCAAACGUUAUUCGGAAUCACUGGGCAUAAAGGGCGCGUAGGCGGCUCCACAAGUCAGGGGUGAAAUCCGGCAGCUUAACUGUCGCAGUGCCUUUGAUACUGUGGAGCUAGAGGGAGGUAGGGGUCUGUGGAACUUCCGGUGGAGCGGUGAAAUGCGUUGAUAUCGGAAGGAACGCCGGUGGCGAAAGCGGCACUCUGGGUCGGCCCUGACGCUGAGGCGCGAAAGCGUGGGGAGCGAACGGG